rnacentral:ncRNA from 1 species
CACACGAAGGAUUGAGAGACUGAUAGCUCUUUCUCGAUUCUGUGAGUGGUGGUGCACGGUCGUUCUUAACUGGUGGAGUGAUUUGUCAGGUUAAUUACCCCUUGUGCUAUCUUAGAUGACCCCACCCUUACAUUGACGUGUUCUCCCUACCAUGACAAAGGUGGAUAAAGGUGGAAAGAUUUCAUGUAAUCCAUGGACACGAGUGAAGAUCACAAAUCAUUGAAGAAAAAAGGUUCUACAUGACCC